AUGGAAAAAGACAUUCUAACUCACAUUGAGCCUCCGAUGACCCAGGCAUGCGACAGGGACCCGGCCACGGCGGCAGCACCUGCAAGAGCCCCGCCUGGGCUUCAGACUCCGCUUGAAGGUGCUGUGUCCGCCGCAAGUAGUGGGGUACAUGUGGGACAGGAAAGCAUGGAGCCAGGAGAGUACGAUGAGGUGGAAAAAAUGUCUGUUCUUAGUUUGGGGCUGAGCGCUGAGGCUGAUGCCCCACACGCAGGUGAGGUUCCGGGUCACGCUGCGUUGCAGGGGACCAGCAGCCAGGGCAACACAGGGAAGAAAACCAGCCGGAAAAGGAGGAAUAGAAAGGAAAACAAGGUUGUAUAUCUCCCCUGGCCUCUGACGCUACAGACCCGGGCGUCUUCUGCAGCCCCAGUUCUGGGCCAGACUUGUGUCACAGGGGCUCUGCCGAUUGCUGAUACUGGAGUCGGCGCGGUGUAUGAAAACAGGGAGGAAGGGGAGUGGGAUGACAAGGAGAAGGUACCCGUUGCCACCUGGCCUGAGAAGGCACAUGCUGGCACCCCACUGCCAGCAGAAAGCGCAGCUCAGGCCUCUCUUGAGGAGGCGUCAGUGGCAGCCAAUGAGGAGAUAAAAGGAGACCAGACAGGCAGUCAUAAAGGGAGAAAUAAAAAGAACAAAAAGGUCAUGGCCAGUCCUUGGCCUCUGACAGUACAGGCUUGGGUGUCAUUCACAGGCCCAGGCCAGAUGCAGGUGGCUACAGCAGGGGCAUCGUCAUUUGCUAGGGAUGGUGUCAACGCGGGGCCUAAAAGCAAGGGUCAGAAGGGUGAGGCGAAUAAAACGUCAGCUGGCACUCCGUACCAGAGUGCACAGGACGGUGCCCCCCGCUCGGCUGAGGGUCUGGGGCAGGCCUCGUGGGAGGGGGCAUCCCCCCCUGCUGACAGCCCAGAAAAUGAGAAGAGAGCCGCCUAUAAAAGAAGGAAUAGAAAGGAGAGAAGCGUCUCGGCUGGUCCUUGGCCUCUGACAGUACAAGCCUGGGCAUCAUUUGCAACAGCAGACCAGGUGCAGACUCGCCCCCAGGGCGAGCCUUCUGUUGCAAGUAUGGGGGUGAAUGUGGGGCCAAGGAACUGGCCCCAAACAGAGUAUAGUGAGGAGGGAGCACAGGCCGCUCUUCCUUGGCCUGAGAGGGUCCAGGCUGGUGCCCUCUUCCCGGCAACAGCCCCGGGACAGGCUUUACUGCAGGGGCAUCCUUCCCAAGACCUACAUUCCAAGGUGAGACAAAUGUGUUGGAGACCCCAAGGGAGAGAGGGGGAACUGGUUCCGAGCAAUCCAGAGCAAGUUCGGGAACCCUGUCAUGGGUGUAGAAGAACCGAGAGACACCUGAGGGACCAGGACUUCUGGGAAUGCACGGUGAUGAAUUUUGCUAGGCAGGUGGAUUGUUGCUAUUGUGGGGAGCUCUGCUCACAACAGCGGAUGGAGGCUUUGACCCUGACCAAAGCCCACACCCACAUCAGCACUUCAGUGAUGGGACCAGAGAGGGAGAGGGCUAAAUCUCAGGCAGUCUGGAUGGAGAAAUGGGGAGGUUUUUGA
rnacentral:lncRNA from 1 species